GUGUCCUCAGCUUCGCCACGCGAGAGAAGACACCACCGGACUGCCUUGGUGUGACUGCGGCAGUUCCGGCGCGCCUUGCCAACAGGACUUCUCCGGGCGCUUCUCCUACAUCUGGCGCCGGCCGUCCCCACCAUCUUCUUCGUCGACGGCAAACGGCAAGCUCCGCAUAAGGUUUGUCGCGGUUGGUCCCAACUUAUUUCAUCAGAUUUGUAGGUAGAUUUGUGUAGCUGUUAGUCUCUGCAGACUCUGGUAAGUUUUUUGGAUUAAUUAGCCGAUUCGGAAUUUGUUUUACAAUGCCCGGAGAAGCUCGUUUUUACAUGAUGCUGUUUAACAUUCUAUCAGUGUCGAAGUUUCGAAUAGGUUUAAGCAAAACAAGUACUGUAAUAUGCCAUAGUUGCAUUUUGAGUUGACCAUCUUUUUGGUUAGCAAUUGGUCAGUUUUACUCGCUAUAAUUUGUUUGCUGUAACAGAGCGAUCAGGGUUACAGGCAACUACUGAGAUUUUUUCGGCGAGCCAUCUCCCAGUCUCCCUCCCUCCUCACCUAUCAACUUUUUGUGGUUUUGUUCCCUGUUUAUGCUUCGGAUUAAUCGUGGGCAUGGUGUGCAGCAGGUGGUUUGCAAUCCCGACAGCUUGAGCCUUGAGGCAAGAGACUAGAGGCGAGUGACUUUAGUCUUGAAUUGUGACGGGCUGCGAUGGACUGGGCGGGCGGGGAUGAUGGCGUGGGUGGAGCAUGCUGGUGGCUUUGACCUCAAGCAAGAUAAGAAGCACACAUGCUGAUGUGCACCCAAUUCCACUCAUGACUCUGGUUCCUAUAUCUCUUUAGCUCUUCUCGCCUACAAAUUAGCAAGAUAAGCAGGUUCAUCUCAUCUUGCUGAUUAUUAAAAAGCUCCACUCCUGAGCUAGCGAAGCAUCUUUGAGAAGUCUUAUAUUGGUUUUACAUGGUACUCCUGACAAAUGUAUAUGGAAGUACUGCAUUUUUUUAUAUUGGUUCCAAAUAGCUCAUCGCAGCUACUGAUGUAACAGUAUUAUGAAGCAGCAGUAUACCUGGCAUUAGAGCACAGUUGAGAGCAAUUUACAUGUAUUUGGUAGCUUUAAUAAUAAUAAGGUGCAGCAAUGGCAACUUGUUGGUCAUUUAA